UUGAAUAGUUCUAUUUUUUUUAUUUUCUUUAUUUCUCUUUUAAAUCUUAUUGAUUUUCCCUAAGUUCAGAUUGAUUUGAACCCAAAAGUAGCCAUUUUUAACCGUUGGAGAUGGAAAAUAGCCGUUGAAAUCAAGUCUGGACGAAGUAGGGCUCACUGUAGAACUAGCCGUUACAUCUGUCAGAAGCAUUCGAGUCAGUUCGAAAUGGUUCCAUAUCGGCUUAAUUCUCAGUAAUCCAAAUUUUAGCCUUCUAUCCUUCUAAGAAAGUUAGCUCUGAUUUGAAUCGAAUC
rnacentral:lncRNA from 1 species